rnacentral:rRNA from 1 species
UCUCCUGGAAACGGGUGGUAAUGCCGGAUGCUCCAGUUGAUCGCAUGGUCUUCUGGGAAAGCUUUCGCGGUAUGGGAUGGGGUCGCGUCCUAUCAGCUUGACGGCGGGGUAACGGCCCACCGUGGCUUCGACGGGUAGCCGGCCUGAGAGGGCGACCGGCCACAUUGGGACUGAGAUACGGCCCAGACUCCUACGGGAGGCAGCAGUGGGGAAUAUUGCACAAUGGGCGCAAGCCUGAUGCAGCGACGCCGCGUGAGGGAUGGAGGCCUUCGGGUUGUAAACCUCUUUUAUCGGGGAGCAAGCGAGAGUGAGUUUACCCGUUGAAUAAGCACCGGCUAACUACGUGCCAGCAGCCGCGGUAAUACGUAGGGUGCAAGCGUUAUCCGGAAUUAUUGGGCGUAAAGGGCUCGUAGGCGGUUCGUCGCGUCCGGUGUGAAAGUCCAUCGCUUAACGGUGGAUCCGCGCCGGGUACGGGCGGGCUUGAGUGCGGUAGGGGAGACUGGAAUUCCCGGUGUAACGGUGGAAUG